rnacentral:rRNA from 1 species
GAAUUUAAGCAUAUCACUAAGCGGAGGAAAAGAAACUAACAAGGAUUCCCCUAGUAACGGCGAGUGAAGCGGGAAUAGCCCAGCACCGAAUCCCCUGUCUGUGAGGCAGUGGGACCUGUGGUGUUUAGGACAGCCUUUGGGGUUCCGCUGUCGCGUCCGAGUCCUCCUGAUCGGGGCCUUUCCCAUAGCGGGUGUCAGGCCUCUACUGGCGUGCGGCGGAGUCUCUUUGAGCGCCCUAGGAGUCGGGUUGUUUGGGAAUGCAGCCCAAAGUGGGUGGUAAACUCCAUCUAAGGCUAAAUACCGACACGAGUCCGAUAGCGGACAAGUACCGUGAGGGAAAGUU